CCCUUAGAUGUUCUGGGCCGCACGCGCGCUACACUGAUGCGUACAACGAGUCUUUUCCUUGGCCGAGAGGCCUGGGCAAUCUUUGAACACGCAUCGUGAUGGGGAUAGACGAUUGCAAUUAUUCGUCUUCAACGAGGAAUUCCUAGUAAACGCAAGUCAUCAGCUUGCAUUGAUUACGUCCCUGCCCUUUGUACACACCGCCCGUCGCACCUACCGAUUGAAUGGUCCGGUGAGGACUCGGGAUUGUGGUUUAGCUCCUUCAUUGGGGCCUGACUGCGAGAACUUGUCCGAACCUUAUCAUUUAGAGGAAGGUGAAGUCGUAACA
rnacentral:rRNA from 1 species